AGUUUGAUCCUGGCUCAGGACGAACGCUGGCGGCGUGCUUAACACAUGCAAGUCGAGCGAUGAAGCUUCCUUCGGGRAGUGGAUUAGCGGCGGACGGGUGAGUAACACGUGGGUAACCUGCCUCAAAGUGGGGGAUAGCCUUCCGAAAGGAAGAUUAAUACCGCAUAAUAUAAGAGAAUCGCAUGAUUUUCUUAUCAAAGAUUUAUUGCUUUGAGAUGGACCCGCGGCGCAUUAGCUAGUUGGUAAGGUAACGGCUUACCAAGGCAACGAUGCGUAGCCGACCUGAGAGGGUGAUCGGCCACAUUGGAACUGAGACACGGUCCAGACUCCUACGGGAGGCAGCAGUGGGGAAUAUUGCGCAAUGGGGGAAACCCUGACGCAGCAACGCCGCGUGGGUGAUGAAGGUCUUCGGAUUGUAAAGCCCUGUUUUCURGGACGAUAAUGACGGUACYAGAGGAGGAAGCCACGGCUAACUACGUGCCAGCAGCCGCGGUAAUACGUAGGUGGCGAGCGUUGUCCGGAUUUACUGGGCGUAAAGGGUGCGUAGGCGGAUGUUUAAGUGGGAUGUGAAAUCCCCGGGCUUAACCUGGGGGCUGCAUUCCAAACUGGAUAUCUAGAGUGCAGGAGAGGAAAGCGGAAUUCCUAGUGUAGCGGUGAAAUGCGUAGAGAUUAGGAAGAACACCAGUGGCGAAGGCGGCUUUCUGGACUGUAACUGACGCUGAGGCACGAAAGCGUGGGUAGCAAACAGGAUUAGAUACCCUGGUAGUCC
rnacentral:rRNA from 1 species